AUUAGCGGCGGACGGGUGAGUAACACGUGAGUAACCUGCCUUAGACAUUGGGAUAGCCUCGGGAAACCGGUAUUAAUACCAAAUAAAAUCAUAAUGACACAUGUCAUAACGAUCAAAACUCCGGUGGUCUAAGAUGGACUCGCGCCCAUUAGCCAGUUGGUAGAGUAAAAGCCUACCAAGGCGACGAUGGGUAGCCGGCCUGAGAGGGUGACCGGCCACAUUGGGACUGAGAUACGGCCCAG
rnacentral:rRNA from 1 species